rnacentral:lncRNA from 1 species
CUUGGGGCCAGGCCACAGGACCGACAAUGAGACUGUUUCAUCAUAAGGUCCUUUUGGCGGAGGGCUAAGCCAGAGCCUUUAUGCCAAAUUCUGCUCAUUUGAAUAUGGUGCUCCCAUGAGUUUUGUGACAAUACCUCCAUCAUCAUUGACUCAGAUGCCCUGCUGCAGCUCUCCUCCCACAGCUGAGCCCAUUAUGCGCUCCAAGCUCCUGGACCCACGGGAGGAACAAAGAACGAUGUGGGUUUUUCCCUGAGGUACCUUAAAGCAUUCGUUGGUACGAGGUGAAGGUGUUAGUGAGUGAAGACGCUGGCUGGGGCUGAGAGACCGCGCUCCUGGACGUCUUCCUCAGGUUCUGGGACAGGUUUGCAGGUUCCUGUGGUUCUGCUGGGGUUGGAUAGGAUCAGCUGCAUCUCCUUCUAAGCUGUGGAUUGGAUUUAGGCCUGCUCUCCACAUCUCUCAUUCUCUUUGGGUCAGCAGCUCCCUGGGACGUGUUCUUCUGAAGGUGAAGAGCAAAAGCAUGGAGCCAGGUCGAAUUACAGGAGCACACAGCAAGUCUCUGCUCAUGCCAUGUUUCUUUACAUUGCCCACAAUAAAUCACACGGCCAAGC